AUGGCAGUAAGCUGUGCUUAGUAUGCAAUCGAAAGUCAAGUUUGAGGAACUCCUGCCUGAUUUUCAACAGAACAGCCAAUUGAAUAGUUUGGCCAGGUUGGUCCUGCACUUGGAUGUACACACUUUUCACCACAAUUUCAAGGUUUAUUCAUUUGCGUUGACAUGGAUUUCAGCGAUUUCAACGUUCACAUAAUUGAUCUGCAAGUGUGAUGUUAAUGCACGAGGCCCGGGGUUUUCAACUAGUGUCUGGUUUUUGCAAGGCUGCAUGAACUCGAGCCAAGCUGUGUACUCUUCCUGAUCUCUAAAAGGGGAUCACUGAAAACAAGAUUGUGUCAGGCAGUGUUUCUCAUGACCCCAAUACAAUGUUUGCCCUGAGCCAGCUGAGUCACGCCCACUCCCAGAAUUCCCUGCACCGCAGUGUCAGUCAACUCAUUGACACACAGGACAGGAAGUUUCUGAUGGAUGAUGGGAUAUGGAGCCCUGUUGUACGGGGUCAUGAUAGUGGCCUGUUUAUGGAUGAUGAGGAAUUUGUGGACACAAUCAAAGGGUUCAGCACAGUGCGAAAGGAGCACACCAUGUUUACAGAUACAAACUUGUAACCGCUGUAACCCCUCAGGCUUCUAUGUACAUUUGUCAUGACAAAGACCACUUUUGUGAGAUGACCCAACCAGCCCAGCAAGAGAUGACCCACUACAAAUAACAUCUGGAUCUCGGUCAUCAUGUUUAAUUCGCCCAUUUUUGUUCAGUAAUAUGGAGCAUCUUUUACAUAUUGUUUUGGAGCCAUUUAAAACCGACUGGGCUGGUAUGAAGGCUCAUGAAACAAAAAGACCAAUUGAAGCUUUGUGGUUGAUAUAAAUGCUAUGGUUGUUAGAAAAAAGCACCUAUGCGUAGUUGUUUAGCAGGGAGUCAUAUGAAAUACUUCAGAGAAGGCUGUAAUGCAAUUGCAUGAUAGGAAAUAUGGACUGAACCUGGCUCCAACAAACAAUUAUUGUCAUGCAAGAACCACAAAAAUAUUUGUUCUUAAAUUACUCAUAAGAAUACAUUCACCAAUUUUCACUUAUUUAGAAUUUGUCUUUGGAACAAAAAAAGUGGUCCCGACCUACACCCAAAAUAUGUAGUCUUUCGCUUAGACUAAUAGAUGGUAUACACUCACCGAGCACUUCAUUAGGAACAUUUUUACUUUAUUACACCUCCUUAUUAAUGCAAUUAUCUAAUCAGCCAAUUGUAUGGCAGCAGUGCAAUGAAUACAAUCAUGUAGAUACGGAUCAGGAGCUUCAGUUAAUGUUCACAUCAACCAUCAGAAUGGGAAAAGAUUUUGAUUUAAGUGACCGUGGAAUGAUUGUUGGUGGCAGACAGGGUGGUUUGACUAUCUCAAAAACAGCUGAUCUCCUGGGAUUUUUACGCACACCAGUCUC